rnacentral:tRNA from 1 species
UACAAAGUGCCUGAAAAAUAGGAUGAUUUUGAUAGAGUCAAAAAUGUGUGCGCCUCACCUUUGUAU